UCCUUUGUAGUGUAGUGGUUAACAUAUCGCGUUUUCAUCCCCAUAGGAACAAUCCGCGAAGCCCGGGGUUCAAUUCCCCGCAAGGGAG